UUCAGAGGGCGCGGGCGGCCGGGUGGAAGCCAGGGCACCUCUGCGUCUCUGAAGCCUGCGACGUAAUGCUUUGUAUAAAUACUGACUUUUUAGGGAAGACAGAGAGGAGCCUCUCUCUUUUUCCACUGCGGGGAUUAAGAAAAGUUUAUUGAUUUUUAAACAGGCUGUUUCUAAUCAGGGCUUAUUUUAGAUCUAAUAAAGUUGCUAUUAUUAUUUUUUUAAUUGGGUGCAGACAAGGGAAUUCAAUGUCAAUCUAUGGGUAAACUAUUUUUAAUUGCCUUGGAAGAUGUUACAUUGAAACUAAGAUUAUAGGUCACAUGCGAGUCUCAGGGCCCUGGUCCCACAAGGGUAUUCUGCUAGAACCAGUAUGUCACCCCAGCUCUUGAUCCAGCGUUAAAAUGGCUGAGCAGAUGGGUUAGUGUCCAUAUAACAGGGUAAAUGACCACAACUCCCAGGAAAGCAUUCUUUCAGUUCUGAUGGGCAAACUUCUACUCAUGCUUCAAGACCCAAAUCAAGCGUUCUGUGAGUCUUCUUACGUUCUCUCAGGCAUCACAGUGACUUUGUCCCCUGCUUCCACUACAGAAUGCUGUAGAUAUUUUAAUCGUUGCAUUUAUCGCGUUGUUCUAAAUCGUGAAUUUGCGGUUCUGCUCCCCCAGCAGACUGUGAGGCUUAGGGAGCAGAGCUUGUAACUUAUUCUCAUUUUGUUUUCUUUUCUCUUCCAAAGUAGCUCAGUUCCUAAACUAUAGCAGGCACUCAAAUACAUGUUUUUCCCGGGUAAUAGACUAGCUAUACCUCCGUAGAUCUGGUUUGUUGAGAUCCACCUUCAUAUGUGCAUUCAGCCAAUUCUUGAUUUACUAUGUUUAUGAGGGAUAGUUGUUGAGCAUUUCCUAUAGACUUAGGAAGUUCUGUCGUAGGAUAUAUAAGGGUUAUAAAGGAACUCUAAGAUGUAAUCUUGCAGUCUUGUAGACCCUAAUCUUUAAAGGGAUUCAAUAGAGGAAGAUAUUGUACAAUCAGAGAACAAUAGGAGAGUAUGUAACUAUAGAAAAGUAAUUCUAAGUCAAGUGGCCCAAUGCGUGGUUAAAGGUAACUCCUGGUAUGGUGUUGGGGAGGAGAAGGAACCAUGGGGCUGGUGUCAUUGGGGAGGGACUUGGACUGAGGCAUGGAAGACAGAGACAGUUAAACCAGAUAGAAGAAAUGGGGGACCAGGCCUCAGACCUACAGAACAGCUGCCAAGGUGGGACUGAGCACCAGGGGGAGCAGGCAGUGAGGAAACCAGCCCGGAACUUCCCACAGAUUUUGGAAUCCUCGCGGUGAAGGCCUGGGGUGAUGUCAUAGGCCACUCCUGACUGACUGAGAGGCCAAGUGCUGAAACCGCAAGCUGGGAAUGAACCAAGUCAAACUGGGGAGCUGGAAUUCUGGACGAGAUCACCUGAUGCCUGAGUUUCUGGGGCUGCUUCCCCCUCUCCAGACGCGGAUACUGAGACUCAAGAGGCCACCCCAGUGUGGACCGCUGGUGCACGACAGAAUCGGGAUUCUGACCAGAGCUGUCUGGUCCCAGAGCCUGUGCUUGUGACUGUGAUGUGAUGCAGGAGAGUGGACUAUACCAGCGUGUAGACUGCCUGGAACAAAUAGAAACCCAGCUGAGUUCCUGCAAUUUACAUAGGUGAAUCUAGAAAUGGAAUUGCCUAAGGAUUUGGCAGAAGGUGAAAAAGAAGAGCUAAAGAGGAGCAUAGAAGGAGACACUUGGCCUUUGUGUCCAGAGAAGAAAGAGAAUGCCUUUGGGGAGGUUGCGAUCACCAGACGGCUGGCCCUCAGCAACACUGAAGCCCAGAAGUCGGAUUGCCCAGCGGCUUAUGGGGAGUGACCCCUUUGUUUCUCUGAAGCCGUCUCCUCCUAAUCCCCUUAGCUCUAUAAAAGCCCGCUGCUUUCUGUUCUUGGGGAGACAGACUCCAGCAAACCCAGGCUCCCAUCCACUCAUUUUGGCCAAUUUAAUUAAAUCUUUCUCCAUCUCCAAGCACCGGUGUCUCAGUGUUUGGCUUGCUGUGCAUCGGGCACACAAGCUUGAGAUUAAGAGGUUCAGUAUCGAUCAUUCUGUUUAAUUGCCUGAAACACAAGGCUCAAAUGAUCCUGAGAAGAAGACUGGCUCGCACACAGCCUAGUAGAGCUCAGUGCUGGACCGCUGUGAAAAAUUCCAAUCCAAUGGUGGCUUGUUUAUUUUAAAUUAUUCAAAAUCAUUUUAAAGCCUUAAAAAUGGAAGUAGUUGCAACUUCAUGUGGUGAAAUAACAUGGGUAUUUGAGAAGAGAAAUGUGAUAUUGUUUAUAAUGAUAAUAAUAUCGGCCACCACGUACUAGCCCUUACUGUGUUCCAGGUUUUCUACUAACUGCUCUGUAUACCUGCUCUUCAACCCAAAUAGUUCUCAGGGUUAGCACAGUGCUUCUCAUUUUCUGCUUGCUGUCUUCAUUUCUACUUUGUUAAUCUUAAUGCAUACACACUCUUUAUCUUAACACACUUCAAAUUUCUUUUGAAACGAGGCAGCAUUCUGAUCAAUGAAAAUAUUUUGGAGUGAUUUUCUAAAGAGUGAUCGUAAAGGCUUUAGUUUAUCUUAAAUUCUAGAGAAUGGAUGGUUUACCCAGAAGGAAGACAACAGCCGUUCCUGUUAAAUUAUUCUGCUAAUGUUUACUUUGGAAAACGGUGGUAUUUUAUGCAAACAAAAUUGGAAAGCCUCCAUUUGGGCUCUGCAGGGACAAAGGCCUUUCCUGUGACUAAGGAUUGUCUGGUGGGGCUUCUGGAGGAAGGCUUCGUCAAUUCCACACCUGCCCGUGGAUCACACGGGGCAUGUGGGGUGGGUUCUAGAAUGAAGUCUGACUCACUCUUUUUCAAUAUAAAUAAUGUGUAUUCAUAUACAUGUAAUUGUUGUACUUUAUGAACAAUUUAUAUAUGUGUGUGCAUAUAAAUAUACUAUGUAUGCGAUCAUUUCUUUAAGCUAUUUCUCCCUAAUUAGCCCUCCAUUAAUUGUGCAAACUACUUAUGCACAAUAACCUAUUGAAAUACAAACUGUUCAGACAAUUCAGACUUCCAGAGAGGAGGACAGCUGCUCACAGAUGAGGACUCUUGCCCUUGGCAAGCUGUUUUUGAGGGAGCUGUCAGAAAUCUGAGAGGGACAACUAACACCUCCACUCAAGGGCAGGAGAAGCGCCCUCCAGCUGGCAGCUCACUCUAUCACUUGGGUGGACGUUCCUUCUGGGGCUGGGAUCCCUUUAUCUAUCCCAGUCACACUGCCAUUGGGAGAGGCUUUGGGAGGGCGGGGAGGGGACAUCAGGUGAGGUCAUUGCUCAAGAAUCAGGGUUGUUGACUCAAAGAUCCUCUCACGAAUUUCCAGGUGCCUUCUAAGCAAGGUUUAAAGGAAACUACACAACAAAGCAAGUGGUCCUUAGAAUCUGAAGGACAAGGCAGUUCACUGUCGCUAAAUGGAAGCUUUGUUAUUAAAAGAGCUCUUAUCUGGUGAGGCUCUGAGGUAAAACCAGUUAAGUCCUGACUUGCUGUUUUUGUGUUUUAAUGUUGUGCUUUGGCGAGUUCUUAUUUUGACCUAGCGGGGGUAAGAGUGGGUGGGAGGGAUGGGCCUUAAGGCAAUGGAAGGAUUUUUACUUCUGUGUUACGUCUUUGUGUAUUUACACUGGGGCUUUAGUUAUGCAAAAAUAUGGAUAGGAAAAACAUUAGUAGAAAAUAUAACAAAAUGGUAUGAAUGGCUAUUUCUUUAUGGUGGGUUGUGAAUGUGUAUCCUUUUUCUUUUCUUUUUUCCAAAUUUUGUGUACUGAAUGAGAUAUUUAUAAUGAAACUGAAAUCUGGCAAUAAAACUAGCCUUAUUUUGCAAUUUAUACCACACAUUUUGUUUGAAAAUUCCAUCAAAUGUAAUAGUGUCCCCAUGGGCCCAUUUAGAGCCAGUUCCAACAGACCCCAACUCUUAUCAACAAAGUGAUUAAGGAUUGUCUUUCAGAAAAUUUGCGAAGUCACGUAGCCAGAGCAUGCACAGAAGAAAUUUUGACCUGAAAUGACCAUGGAACCAAAGAUUCUCCUCCCCACAGAUCCAAGGAGCAGGACACAACCCCGAACUUGAAAGUCAGACUCUUACCAGAAGUGAGAGGUCCAUCAUUCUGGAAGAUCUGGUGUUAGAAUUCCUUACCCACCUUACCAUAAAUGUUUAGAACCUCAUCAUAAAUGUUUAGAACCUCAUCAUAAAUGUUUAGAACCUUACCACAAAUGCCUGAAGCCUACCACUCAAAACCUGUCCUGCCAGUGUUUCUGUGUGCCAGCCUCUUCUCCCUAACCUCUUAGAUUUUGCCCCAAAUCGUGAAUUGGGGAGACAGAUCUGAUGGCACACGCCCCCUGUCUCCCUGCAGAUUCAUCUCUCAUAAUAAACCUGAC